rnacentral:rRNA from 1 species
AAUCAACGCUGGCGGCGUGCCUAACACAUGCAAGUCGAACGAGAAAGUGGAGCAAUCCAUGAGUAAAGUGGCGCACGGGUGAGUAACACGUGACUAACCUACCCUCGAGUGGGGAAUAACUUCGGGAAACCGAGGCUAACACCGCAUAACAUCUACGGAUCAAAUGCGUAAGCAGCUUGAGGAGGGGGUCGCGGCUGAUUAGCUAGUUGGCGGGGUAAUGGCCCACCAAGGCAAUGAUCAGUAGCCGGCCUGAGAGGGCGCACGGCCACA